rnacentral:ribozyme from 1 species
UGCCCAGCAACUCCUAUCCCUACCUCCUCGCGGUACUGGCCGGGGUACGAGCAGGCUUCAAGUGCGUGAG